rnacentral:rRNA from 1 species
UACGGGGGGGGCAAGCGUUGUUCGGAAUUACUGGGCGUAAAGGGCUCGUAGGCGGCCAACUAAGUCGGAUGUGAAAUCCCCAGGCUUAACCUGGGAACUGCAUCCGAUACUGGAUGGCUUGAAUCCGGGAGAGGGAUGCAGAAUUCCAGGUGUAGCGGUGAAAUGCGUAGAUAUCGAGAGGAACACCAGUGGCGAAGGCGAGUCUCUGGACAUUUCCUGACGCUGAGGCACGAAAGCCAGGGGAGCAAACGGG